AUAUCGAUGCCUUCCUGACUCAGGGCGGUUGACAGGAUCUCACCUAUAAGCAUCCCUGAAACAAGAAGAAAUCAAAGCAUACAUAACCACCUCCCACUGACUGAUAAGAGUAUAUGCUGAAGAAAACAACCAUCCCUAUUUUUUUUUAAUCUAAGCAGUACACUUGUUUCUCAGAAAUAGAUGAGAAAAAGGAUUUGGCUUGAAACAUGAGUUUAAAAGAAACAAAAUGAAGACUUAAGCAAUAUCUCUAUACUAUGGUAGAAGAUGAUAUAAUACAAUGGACAGAUUAUUGCAUCCACAGUGAUUACAUGGACAAAUCACAUAUAAUUACAGGACAGAUUACAUGGCAAAUCUGUUGGCAUUCACAGGUUUACACAUUGCAAACCAUAUUAACCAAUCCUCCUACAAAAUAAAACAAAGGCAGGCAGUGCUGUAACCACUCUGUAACUCACUGUGUAACCCUGUACAAGCCAUUUUCUUAUAAAUCCAACAACAAGAUUGCACAAAAUCAAAAGUCUUUUCCAGUACUAGCAUUCUGUGAUUCCAAAGUUUCUGUGGGGAAAAAUGUAGUCAGGACAUUCUAUCAUUUUGAUGGUAUGUUACUGAAAUGUAAAGGCUAGAGACCAGGGAAAGCCCAUCAAAAAUACCAUGUCUUGGGCCGGGGAUUUAGCUCAGUGGUUCCAGCGCCUGCCUCACAAGUGCGAGGUCCCGAGUUCAAUCCCCGGUACCAAAAAAAAAAAAAAAAAAAGCCGUAUCUGCAAUGUCCCAGAGGGAAGAGAAUCCCUGCUACAGCUUGAAUGUAUAUGUUCAUUCAAAACCCGUAUAUUGAAAUCUAGUCAGCAAGGUGAUGGUAUUGAAAGGUGGGAAUUUGGGGAGGUGAUGAGAACAUGAAAGCUCUGUCCUUCUGAGUGGGAUUGAUGACCUUAUCAAAGAAAUGUGAGGGUGCUAUUCACUCUUUCCUGUCGUUCUGCUCCUCCACCACCUGCCAUGUGAGGGUGCAGUAACAAGACACCAGGUGGGAAGUGGAGAGCAGCCCCGGAAGACAUAGAAUCUACCAGCACUUAGAGCUUGGACUUCCCAACUUCUAGAAUGUUCUCACUGGUAACUCCACUACCAGAUGGAAAGCUAACAAAGAAAGUCAAAACAAAGGAAGUCAACUUAACUCAUCAGAGAUCAUGACAAAAGAUUCAUCAUGAUAUCACAAAGAAAGGUAAAUUCCAGUCAGAUUGAAACAUUUACAAGUCAAAUCUGUAAAAUCAAUAGAAUAACAAAUCCUCAACAUCUUUGUGAACUAAAGGUAGACUGUCUUCUUAAAAAUUAUCCCCCAAAUAAAAAACCAUAAGCAUUAUGAUGGAUUUGACUAUAACAGAAUAAAGGAUUCCUGUUUAAAAUCCAUGAAGAUUUGUUGUUGCUCAGAGAAGUACAUCAGAGAGACAAAACUAAGAAGAAAUAUACAAGAAAAUUCAAAUGGAAAUUUUAAAAAAAGUUCAAAAGAUAUGAAUAGGCAAUUGAUGAACCCAACACCCAACAAAUAUAUGAAGAAAUGCUUAAAAUGGUAGUGUCUAGAAUGAUCCAAAUUAAAACAAAGAUGAGAUACCACUUUAUACUAAUAAAACAUGGCACAUUUUAGAGUGGUGAGUAAUAGCAAGUGUUGGGGAGGAUGUGGAGAGAAGAGAAUCCUCACACACUGCUGGUGGAAGUGUAAAUAGUGCAGACAUUUAGAAGAGCAAUAUGGUAGAAAUGAAUGACACUGAAUAUAUGUAUACCCUUUACCCCAACGGUCCCACUCCUGGAAAUGUAGUCCAGAUAAAUGCUUAUCCUGCUUUUUCAUCCAGCUUUAUCUAUCUAUCUAUCUAUCUAUCUAUCUCCAUAUAUAUAUUUUCUUUUCUGCAGUGUUGUUUAAUGGUAAUGAGGAAUCUGUCACUAGGGGAUAAAUACGUAAAAUUGUGAGAAAA